UCGGAUAAGGAUAUUGAAGAUAUUCUAGAUAAAAGAGAGAAGACAACGACACAACCUAAAGCAAAAAUACAAAAAAUCGCUAAGGAUAGCAUUAAAUUUAGUUGGAACAAGCAUAAUUGUUAUUGGGAUGAACAUCGCAGCAUGUCAGAGAAGAAAGUAAAAAAUAAGAAAGAUACCAUUGAGGGGGAAGCCGAAGAUCAGCGGGAUCCUUUGAUGCCCGAGGAGACAGAAUGGAAGGGACGUAGCCCAUG